UACGAAGGGGGCUAGCGUUGCUCGGAAUCACUGGGCGUAAAGGGUGCGUAGGUGGCGGGGUAAGUCUGGUGUGAAAGCUCCGAGCUCAACUCGGAAAAGCAUUGGAAACUAUCCCGCUGGAGGGUCGGAGGGGAGACUGGAAUUCUCGGUGUAGCAGUGAAAUGCGUAGAUAUCGAGAGGAACACCAGUGGCGAAGGCGAGUCUCUGGACGACUCCUGACACUGAGGCACGAAAGCUAGGGGAGCAAACAGG
rnacentral:rRNA from 1 species